rnacentral:rRNA from 1 species
GACGAACGCUGGCGGCGCGCCUAACACAUGCAAGUCGAACGGAGCUGCGAGAAGCUUGCUUUUCUUAGCUUAGUGGCGAACGGGUGAGUAACGCGUGAGUAACCUGCCCUGGAGUGGGGGACAACAGUUGGAAACGACUGCUAAUACCGCAUAAGCCCACGAUCCGGCAUCGGAUUGAGGGAAAAGGAUUUAUUCGCUUCAGGAUGGACUCGCGUCCAAUUAGCUAGUUGGUGAGGUAACGGCCCACCAAGGCGACGAUUGGUAGCCGGACUGAGAGGUUGACCGGCCACAUUGGGACUGAGGCACGGCCCAGACUCCUACGGGAGGCAGCAGUGGGGGAUAUUGCACAAUGGGGGAAACCCUGAUGCAGCGACGCCGCGUGGAGGAAGAAGGUUUUCGGAUUGUAAACUCCUGUCGUUAGGGACGAUAAUGACGGUACCUAACAAGAAAGCGCCGGCUAACUACGUG